CACUGGCCCAGCAGGUUAAAGACUCAACUCCGCACUCUGCUGGCUGGAAGGCCCCUCCCCAACUUUCUGGAGCCAGACAACAGCUGGCUAUCUCCAUGUGACUCUCUCAUGUGACUCUCUCUGCCUGUGCCACCUCCUACUUCCAUCCCCACAAGAGCUUUCUUGUCAGACCUCUUCAGCAUACCCAUGCCCUAGAUGGGAGAGAGGAGCCAUCUGGUAACAAAGCUCACAAGCCACUGCCUACUGCUGCUGUGGGGCCCAACCACAGGGCUCUGGCCUCACUCCUCCAGGACAGGCACAGGAGCUGGCUGAUCUGACCUCAAAAUCCAAAUGAUCUAGUUUCAGAUGCUAAAUGAUGAAGUGAGACUGAAGGAAAUUAUCCUCUAAGGCUGAGGAACCCAAAAUAUAAAUUCUAAUUUUGUUUCUCUUGCCUUCAUAGGAAGUCAACUCUGAGAGGGAAGCAGCCAUCCUUUCUCAGCAACUGGGCCAGAUGGAGAAUCACUUGUAAACAGUGUCCCAUAUACCCAGCACCUCCCCUACUGGAGACCAGCUACUUGGAGACCUAGGGCUGAGGGUGCUAAGGUGACCUGACAUAUUCAGGGCCUGGCCAGGGGCAGCAUGGCUAACUCCUGGAGCUAAAAUAUAGAUCUUCUAGGACCUAUCUGCUCAAUGACUAGACCAAAUACUGGGGACAAGCAUGUUGACAACUUGCUUCAAAGUCUAAAUUAGUAAAAAUUUGCCAAGAGACUUUACCCAGGCAGCCAUUCACUAUCUAUCAUACAUCCAGUUAUCCAUCUGUCUACCCACCCAUCCUUCCAUUCUCUUGCUAACCAGGCAGACACCUUCCUUCCACCAUUUAUCCUCCCAUCCAUCCGCAGCCCAACCUCCUUUUUCUUUCUUCCUCCUCCUCCCAGUGGCUAAACUUCCCUACCUAUCUGCAUGAGCAAGGCUCUGCCCUAAGGUGCUGUACCACAACUGAAAUUCGAGUCCCACAGACUAUCACAACCUCUCUGUCCCUAUGGCCCUUGCUGUAGGUCAGGCCUUCACCCCUUCCCUGGGUUAUUCCAUAGUCUCCUGACUGCUCCUCCAGUCUGUGUGCCCUUGAGCCGGGCCUGCACUUGGUCCCGAAGUGAGCUUUGAAUAGCUUAAACCUAAAACCUUGCCUGCUUCAAUUUCUACAGAGGCUCUCAUUGGCUCUCAAGCUAAAGUCUACUAUUCAUAUCACCAACCUCUACUCCUCACCCUUCCGGCCUCUCUUCAGACACACGGAAUAUUGAGCAAACAUUUAGCUUCCUGGCUGCUCCAACACUCCUUCCCCUCCCCACCCCUUGGUUCAUUCAUACAACUGUUCAAUGAGGUCCUUCUCUACACCCGGCCCUAAGGGCAAUAGGAAGAGCACGACAGACUUAGUCCCUCACCCCAAGGAGCCUACAGUCAGGUGGGACAUAAUAUGUUAAUCACAUAAUAGGUUGAUUACAACAGAGGAAGUUCAUGGGACUAAGUAACUAUGGCCUCAUUUAAUGGGAUCCAGAAGGCUGCCCUGAGGACAGAUCACCUCAGCUGAGACCUGGAGAGGAACAGACAAGAGGCAGGCACCUGAAGGGCUGCCUGAGACUUCUUAGCUGAGGAGGAGCCAGCAUGCAACCGAUAAGGGAGGAUUCCUCCUUGCUUCACUCCCAGCAGAUGACCAUGUUUCUCCAGGUAAACCAGGGCCUGGUGCACUGGGAACAGGAAGGUGAGCUGACACUCUGACUCACUUGAGAUCUCACGGGAGGCAGAGCCUCCUUCAGAGGCCGACCACCAGGUGGCAGCACUCCCCCAGCCUCCAAGUCACCAUCCUUCCAUCUAAGAGGUGGCCUCCUGGCCAAAAUUACAAGCAAGGCAGGCAGGGUGUGCAGUCAUUCCAGAAGGAAGAGUCCCAACCCCACUAUCUUCUGGGACUGAAGUGGGACUAGAGCCUGGGCAGGCAGUGCCACAACUGGGAGAACUCGUGGUAGGAAGGCCAAGAGCAGGGGACAAAACCCAGGCGGCUGGACUCUACUUUUAGAAGGCCAUGCCCGUGGGUCAGGAAGUCUGACUAUGCCAGAAAGUACAGCAAACACCCCUCAGCAACAUCUGCCAAGAACAUCUUCCUCACUUCUCAGCCCAACAAAAUGUGACUUGACCGUCAGAGCCCAAUCUAAGCAUCCAGGAAGCUUUACCUGAUGCCCCAAGCAGAUUCAGGGGGCUCUCAUGCUUAGUCUUUAUUGGGCAAGUCCCUCUGCCACUCGGAACACUGUGUCAUCCCCCUGUUCUGCCAGUUUCUCCUAAGGUAGCAACAAUACUGUGAUUCACUCACCCCUAUUCCCCACACGCCUUCCCUCAAGCAUCCACAACAUACCUUGUACAUAGUAGUUGCUCAGUAAAUGUUUGCUGACUUGAAAACAUCUGAAAUAAAGGGAGAUGCGGGUGCAAUAAAUGAUGUGGAAUCCUAGCCCAUGCAAAACCAUGGCCCACUCUGCCCUCAGUCUGCACAGCCACCAUACAGACACCCCUCCUGCCCGAGCGCCCCCACCACUGGCUCUUACCCUGAAUGCUGGACAUUCACACUUAGCCACUGCCCUUCAUCACGCCCGAGGCUUAGAGCCUCCUGCAAGUCAAGUCUGCCCUGUUCAUCUCUGAGCUAAAUGGAGUGGCCUUCGUUUUCUCUCAGGGACUCAAGUGGAAUCCCUGGGUCAUCUGCUUUGUCUUCAAUAAGAAACAGUGAAAAGAAAGGUGAAUAAAGAGCCCCAGCUUGGAGGAAACAGAUUUAGGUUCAAGUCCUGGCUGAGUGGCUUGAGUUUCUUCAUCUGGACAAUGGGGGGAGGGUAGGGAUAGCUACCCAGGACUGUGUGUAGAUCAGUGAUCCUGUAAGAAAAGCCCUAACACAUAAAUGCUCCCUAAAUGACAGAUAUUGUAAUUACCCUUAAAAUAGCCCUCUGGCUUGUCCUCAUUUCUCCAAAGGGAAGCAGCUGCAUCUGAUACUCUGUGAGGUUAAUUUUCAAAGUGAUGGGGUUGGUUGAAGCUGCUUUCUUAAACCAGUGGUCCUAAAGAACAUGUUACCAUGAGUUCUAGGCCACUGCAUGGUCAUUCUAACCAUCUCACCUUUGAUCAAAGGGACAAAGGUGAUUAAAAAAACAAAACAAAACAAAAAAAACUGGCACAACUUCAUUUUCGAUGUCCUCAGAGGUAACAAAUCUUUGAUUUCUGGAAACAGUCAAAGGUCAUCAGGUGAAGCUUGGUGAACAGCCGAGCUGGGUGACUGCUCAGGGGCAAAUCCUUGUGGCUUGCACCUCACUUCUCCAGUGAUAUCAUCACCAGGGUAACUACUUCAAAGAGAACCCAUGAAUUGGGAGCCCUCCGCAAAUCUCUGCAGCCCUACUCCUUAAGGAAGUUUCUAAAGAAAAGUGCAGAGACACAUGGCUGACAUGCCCCACUGCCCAGAGUGGGCUGGCAGUGGCCAUAGGCAUCCCCCAGUGCUGCUGCUUCCCUGAUUACCUGACGUGGGAGGAGUCACCAUCUGAGGACUUGAGGGUGGCUCUGACUCCAAACCAAGGGACCCUUGGCCCAGGGAGGGUGCUGCUCAUAUGAGACUGUGGGCACAGGGAUGCUGCUACUGGGCCUAAAGCCCUUGCUCUAGUGGCAGCACUCCAGAGCAGACACCCAAGCUGGCACGCCACCUGCCUCCAAAACCUGGGCCCUUGUGGGGAAAUUCUUUGGGCCCGAAGGACUUUGGUUAAAAGGGCUGAGAGGUCGGAGAGAAUCCAAGAUGGGGCCUCAAGCAGGGAUGGGACAGAGUACUGUCACCAGACCCAGGAACUUCUGUGUCUCUUCCCUCUCGGCACUUCUCUAGGAGACCAGACUGAACGAUGCAUGGCUCUGCUCCCGGACAACUUGGCCAGCCUCUGCACUCACACACUGGCCCAGUCAGCACUUUGGGGGCCCAGCCCCCUGAUUGCGCUGAAGAUGUAAACACAGAUGAGACCAGGCUCCUGCUUUCUGGGGGCCCAGACAGGGCAGUGGGUAAACGGGUCCUGCAAGGGCCACCCAUUCAGUGUAACAGAACACAGGGUGGAUGGGGGAAGGGCGGGCGUGUGCAAGGGAUGGAGCCAGAGAGAGAGUUGAGUCCUGAGAAGCUGCAGGGUCAGAUUCCAUGGGGCCUAGGAGGCUUAGUACCCAAGGAAGCUUGGGUACUACUAAAGAGCCACCAGGAGUCAAAGGAACUUUAAAGCAGGGGAAUCACAUAAAGGUGGUGGGUGUUUUACAGAAUUUCUAGUCCUAGUAGGGAAGAGGGCAUGAGCAAGAGGGGAAAGGUGACACCACGAUAGGGUGGGCCUGGGAAGGCAGCCGCCUUAUGCUUGGGGAGGAACUGGUCAGGAGAUGGAGGUCAAGCCACAAGGUCCCUUAGACUACCCAAUGCCCCCAGCUACAUCUCUGGUGGGAGGAGAGGUAUGUAUGAGCCUUAGUAAAAGACUUUUCCUGUACCUUCUGCAGUCACAGAAACUGGUGGAGAUGGAGGAACUACAAGAGUGAAGAGUGACGAGGCCCCGUGGAGUGUUAUGGGCCAAGGUCCCCACCGCCUGGGCCCCAUUGUGCUGCCAUGCGGACCAAAUGUGGGCUCCAGAGCCCUGUACCACGCCUGACAAGCAAGGAAAUCCCGCCUAACGACCAUGCAAAAAGAAUGUCCGGUUUUAGUUCAAUGCUUUCUCACUCUCCAAAGCAAUUCUGAAUGGUUCAUCUGCAAAGCUGUGAGGAACGGUCUUGUCAAAGCUGGAACCGGAUCACCAGGCAGCACAACAGAGAAGCCGCUGGGCAGCACCUUGGUCCAGUCCUCAGCCAAAGGCCAGCUUUGCUUCCCAUGACUCCAGAACCCAAAGGGAAGGUACACACCACGGGAUGGUUUUGCUCACAGCCAUCUUUGCUUUUUGUUAAGAAAAGCUAGAGGAUUUAUGGUUGCCACCGGAAUGAUUUUCCAUGGAUACUUCUUACCAUAUUUUCAUCUUUUUUCCCUCCGGAUCUGCUUUUAAAAUAAUUUUCACUAAGAUUUAACAGAUGCCCAAUUUCAACCUAAACAGGAGCUGGAGAAAAAUGUGGCAUGGUGCACACUGUUUUACGAUGUGAAAAGUCAUUUACAGAAGAAGUUUUGGGGCAGAUACUUUGUUUACAAAAAUUCCUCAUAGGUGCCAGAGAAGUCACUUGCCUUAAAAUUCUGGGAAGUAGCACCAGUUUGACCAAAAGAUGCACAUCAUAACAAGGCCCAGAAAAUAAACUGGAACUUCAAGCUGUUCUCCUAGUCUUCGCCAAUCACUGUUCUGAGAUCUAGCUGGGCUCCUCGCAUAAACAACAUGCAGAAGUUUGAUGCUAGAGCAAGAAAAGCCUGAAACCUCAAUCAUUCCUGAGUUGACAUGGUCCGAAAACAUUGUCUGUACCAUUCUCCUCCUGAAGCAACCACUGCAAACUGUUUGGGGUUCAAGUGCAGCCAGGGAAAGGGGACAAGAAGGGUGGAGUAACAUGGAGUGAAAACAAGGCCACUGAGGAGCCAAGGGUUGUUGAUUUUAACCAGGAAAUCAACUCACAUGAUCGUAGGAGCAAGCCCUAAGGAACACCCACCAAGAAACAGUCGUUAAGAACAAAGUUGUGUCAAAACAAAGUAAGAAAAACAAAAGGAAAAAAAAACAAACCUGGUUAAUUAAGCACCAAUGUUGCCUUUACUGCAGCUCGUGUGAUUAUCUGUUUACAAACCCAUCUCCCACAGCGAACCACCAGUUCCACAAAAGCAGAGACCACCCUUCACCUAUUCUAAAUCCAACUCUCCUUCAAUAAGAAAAAUUACAGCAUUUCUUACCAUCUCUGCUGCCAUCACCCUAAUCCAAGCCUCCAUCAUUACUCCCCUAUCGUUUCAGUGAUAAUACUAGCAUUUAGAGGGUACUUUUUCUGUGUGGGGGCAUUGCUUUAACUGCUUUGACAGAAUUCACUUAUAAACCCUCACAACUCAGAGAGCUCAGAGACCUCCUCCAUCACUGGUCUCCAUGGGCUGAUCCAUCACUUUGUCUCUCAUAAACAACAUGCGGAACAACAUCUCCCUUUCACAGAUGAAGACACUGGGUCUCAGAGGGACUAACUUCUAGGAGACACAGCUAGCCUGGCAGAAUUAGGAUGGCCCUCAACUGACUUAGUGUGUGGUCAUAAGGCGCUGCCUACAGCAGCCAGAGGAAGGUGAGCUUUUCAAAAUUUCAGACUCCUCCAAACUUUUCAAUGGUUUCCUCCCGCUGCUGGUAUAAAAUUGAAACCCCCAUUACACCCUGCAAUGCUCCCCUCCCCCUUUCUAUUCCUUAAUGGUACUUUGCUGUCCCUGGACCUUUGCAUUUGCUUUUCCCUCUUCCACAAACACCCUUACCCUACUUACAAUGCUGGUUUCUUUUCAACCUUCAGGUCUUAGCUUCAAAGUCACGUUUUACAGCAGACCCUGCCUGACCACCACCCCCGCCCCCUCCAUUACAUCACCAGAGCACUUAUCUCGACCUAAAAUCACUUUUGUCUUCUAUCUGGUGCCAACACACACACACCCCCCCCACCUGCAAAUACUCUGUGGGUUCUGGAGAUAGCCGUUUCUUGGAGUCCUCCGUGGCCCGGCGUCUGGCACACAGUAGGCGCUCAACGCAGAUACGUGAACCUGAUGAAUGCUGGAAGGAAGCCCCGCGCUCUGGCGGGUCCAUGCAGUCCAAGCCACGGGCUCCAGACCCAGUAUAUAUCCUACUGUGAGCUCCCAUCCUCCAGGCUGGUAGGAAAUGCAGUCUUAGCCUCCACUGGGCUCUUCUUACCCAGGUUAUUCCAAGGACUCAGGAUCUCCUGCAGCAGCAGUCUGAGAAGUCACGAGCCCUCUCUGGUGCUGAGGCCUCCGCCAUUGUCCCAAUCACAGGACUCCCAGGGUCGGGCUCUGAGGGGCCAUGCCUGCUGCCCCAAGAUUGCCAGGGACAGGGGCACGUGAGUGGCUCAGUCAGGCCUGAUAAACUCAAACUCGGUGUGGAAUAAAUAUCACUGCUACUCUGGCCUUAGAAAUACAAGAUGAUUUCUCUUGUUAAGAUGUCAAUCAAGAUGACUCUUUACCUGGAAUUGAAGGACCUUAGGGUCCAACAGAGAUGAUGACCCAGAAAUCAAGGUGGAGGAAGAAGCCAGGACCUGAGGAAUGCAGACAGCCUCGAGGCUGAAAAGGGCAAGGAAACAGAUUGUUCCCGAGAGCCUCCAGAAGGAGCAAGCCUGCUGACACCUUGACUUUAGCCCAGUAAGACCCACUUCAAGCUGCUGACGUCCAGAACUGUAAGAUAAAAAAUGUGUAUUAUUUUAAAAUAUGUGUUGUGGCAACAGCUUAUUGUAGCAAUAGGAAAUUAAUACAGUGGGUUUCAAAUAGGGUUAAAUACACAUACAAUGAAUUAAAACAGGUCUCAUUUGAAACAAAAGUCCAAGGGGCAGCUCAAAUUCCCUCCAUGCCUGUCUGCAUGAUUCCAAGCCAGGCUCUCUGAGAAAAGGACUCCCUCUGGUCAAAUUGCUUUUUAUUUAUUUAUUUAUUUAAUUUUAUUAAGCUCUACACCCAAUAUGGGGCUCAAACUCAUGACCUCAAGAUCAAGGGUAAAUGUCUACCAGUCAUGUACCCUUGGUCAAACUUGCUCUUUAAAAGCACAGGCAGUUUGAGCAUAGUCUUCCGGAGUCUGUCAACAUAGUGAGGUACCCAGUCCAGAACCUGACACCACCCAGGGCAUCACCUACUGAAGAAAGCAAGCAACACGUUGCCCACUCCCGUAGCAGAGAAACCUUCUCAAUAUGAAAAUAACAUCUGAUAGGUCUUUGGUGUAAGAUAUUUCCAGGGGUCCCUUUUGCAUUUAGGAUGAACUAAAAGACCACAACAUGGCUACCAAGGACUUGAAGAACAAGUUCCUGUCCACCUCUCCAGCCCUGUCCUCUCUGAGGAUUACGCAGCUCCUAGAACCUACAGCAUUUGCUGCCACCCCCAGGCCUUUCCCCACAGGGUUCCCUUUACUUGGAGUGUUGUCUUAGCUCCUCCUGCCCCUUUGGCCAAUUUCCAUGAAAAUGUGAGGCCCACUUUUCUGGAACAGAAGUCAGCCCCUGGGGCAGAACUUGUUCCUGUCCACAAUGGUUGCCCCACAAGGUCAGUCUGCCCAGGGUGGAAGAGACCAGGCUACAGGGAGAAAAGGCCCAAUUGUGGUUUUAAGGGCUUGCACACCCUUAAAGAUUAAAAAAUCCCCAUGCCCUGUGCCAAACCAGCCCAUCCUUCAUUAGAGCCAUUGUGCACCUGGGCCCCUCCAAGACCUGUCACUCAUCCCAGGGCAGGUCUAUAGUUUACCAGUUUCAAUCCCAGCUCUGCCAUCGCCAGCUGGGCAAACUCGUUCACCUCUGUGAGUCUCAAUUUGCUCCUUUGGUGAAAUGAAGGUAACUAGCUACAACACAAGUGUGAUGAGGACUGAAAUGGUGCUCGUACUACUAAAGCACAUGGAGUGUUCAGCUUGUAGUAGACAUCCAUACGUAUCAUCUAGACCUUGCUUAUCUUUCCAUCAGGAAGAUGAUGCUAUCCAUUUCAUCAACUAAUAAAAUUAAAUUUUAUUUGUCAAAUUAGCCCAGGUGGGAUGUGGCCAGCCAUCGCUCUCAUUCUCUGGGUCCACUUUGUCUGGGUCACAGUACACUUUCCAAUGAACCCUGGAUGAACCGGCCCCUCCACUUGGCUUCUGCCCAUGGCCACCAGAAUAUCUUGCCCCGGCAAGCUCAGUAGCCUCCAGACUGGUCUUAGUGCUUCCAUUGUGGGCUCCCAUUCCCCUCAGUCCAUUCUCCUCACAACUUGUGGCUGUCAAAAAAAGUUUUUCUUUUUAAAGCCAAACUGAUUAUUUUACUUCCUACUUACAACCAUCAUGACCCUGGGGAGCAAUAGUUCAAUAUACCAUGAAAUUAGAAUCAAACCCUUCUCCUCACAGUGGCCUCCAAGACCUCCCGUGCCCCCUGGCUCCGGGUAAUUCCUACAGCCUUAUGGGCCUCCCUUUCCUCAAAGGACCAGGCUGGAGGUCAUACUGAGGCCUUUUGCACUGAUGCUGUUUGCUACCUGGAUCAUCACUUCCUCUGGGCUAGUUUUCCCCGACCCUCAGAAGACACUGUUACUCCCAUAGCACCAUGGGACUCUGGUUUCCACUCUCAGUGGCUCCUGAUUGUGUACUGAUCUGAUUAGGGGCUGUCCCUCCAGACAGCCAGAGAGACCCCAAGGGGAGGAAUGAUGCUUAUCUAACUCCUUAGUACAGAGCUUGGAACACAGCAAGUGCUCAAUAAAUGUUUGCUGAAGGAAGGAAGGGAGGGCAGAAAGAUGGAAUAAAUGAAAAGAUAGUGCUUCCUAUAGGAGCUCUUUUGUGAAGCCUUUUAUAAAGUAAAUGAUACUUGUUGAAUUAUUUUUGGUGCAAAAAUUCUUUCCUAUCUUAUUAUCCCUUCAACGUAGUACAUCUAUUUUUUUUCCGUACGCCUUGUAAAGAUUUUUUUAAUUUGCUACACAAAGGACAUUUUCCUCCCAUUAAUUUUUUUAAAUGGUUUUUAUGACCACUUUGUGCUUUAAGAAGGAAAUACUGCUCGGUAUUCAGAAUAUUCUUUCAGCUUCUUUGGUGAGAAGAUUCUGGAAGCCUUCCCACUGUUGACUAUAACCAGUGCAGCUUGGAACACGAUGUCACCCCUCCAGAAUUCUCUCAGACCUAGAUAAAACUUAUUCUGUGUGUCUCGUUGGGGACAAGGUGUUUGGAAACAGUGCCUUAUGCAACAGAGCUGCUGCAGGGCAGUCCCUUGGAGGCAAAUGUAAUAAAAAUCAUGAUGUGUGAAAAAUGUGCCCACAGAGUCCGAGGAACUAAAGAUUUUAAAGCUUCUCUGCCAGUAAUUCAGUUUUUAUUUUAUGUUUCUUGGAAAACUGAAGGCUUGUGUCUACCACAUGUGUUACCUAAGACGCAGGGGGGGUGGGGGGCGGUAAAGGGUGUUUUGUGCUGGUGAAAAUAUCUAUGGCCACCUGGUCAAAGCAGUCCUCUUUGUAAAUGACCUCCUCUCCCUGGGGCCUGCACAUGCUCCCCAGGGAGGGGUAUUUUCAUCCUGCAUGAAAUUGCUCUUUGCUUGCUCACUUCUAUGGGCAAUGGUACAUGCUUGCAAAGCUGCUGACUGUGGUUACUUUAUUUCAGAAAUGUGCAGGCCUGAAACACCUGAAUUUUUCCUGGAAUACUUGAAAGCAAAUUAUGCGCCGGAACCUCUCAGGCCUGUUCCCAGCGGAAUUUCCUUUGAGUGCUCAUAUCUCAAAACCUUAUGUAACCUGACACAAUUAUCUGAAAAGGCUCGGAAUCCAAAAGAACAGUGUUCUGAGCUAGGAAUGAAGGUUGGAGCUGGGAAAGACGUGUCCUCCCCCUGCCCGGGGACUGGGUCAUACUUCACUGCGACAAUACCCAAUUCACAUUCCAAAGAAAAAUGCUAACCCUCUGACACUGUGACCAGGGGGAGGCUUUGCUUCAUCUCUCCAAGCAAGGAAUCACUUAACGAGGUGCUCGAGGGACAUUACAAAAGCCCUAGACCUGGCUGGUGAUUAAAAAUAUUUCGAUAACCACCAUGAGCAAGUGGUCUUCCCAGGAUGGAAGCCAGAAUGGCUUGGGCCCCUUUUGGGGAAUAUACCCCCCACCAACUCAAAAAUCAACCCAUUUGAAGAGGUGGUGUCUCACACCAGCAGUUAGCAGUACAAAUGGGAUAUAUACCGGGAGUCUGGAAACCUUAUUUUCACCCAGUGAUGGGUCCAGGUGAUUCUGACUCAAGCCCAGCCCAAGACUCCAUCUCCCCAGGCCAACCCCCAACUCCAGGGAGAAGUGGGGAAUGAGGACACAAACUCUAAGUGCAGACCUAAAAUCGGGGCUCCAUGAGGAGAUGACCCCGCAUUCCAGAAAGCCCCUGACCCAAGAAGCUUCCUCUGCCCUUUAUUUAGUUUCACUUUCAGAAAUCCCCAUCCUGCUCACCAUUUGCAUACCAGCGGUGAGAGACCUCCUAGGAGAACAGGCACCACUCAUAGGUGGUUGGCUUUUCAAGGAAUUUGCUGGAGAAAAUUGUAGGCAAGGCUGUGAACAAAACCCCCCUCCAUCUGGUUUCAGUUUAUUUAAAAAAACAACGCACACAGGCCUCCCCACCAGCAAUCAGAAAACAGCCACAGCUUCCCCAGGGGGGUAUUAGCCACCAAGGGUGGGGUGAAUUUUAUAUAUGUAAAUAAAGUAAAUCAGCUAGCCAACAGCAACUAAUUUUUGUAUCUUUUGCAGUUGUUCUGCCAAAAAAAAAAAAAGGCCUAAAUCAGCCGUGAUGGAAUUAUAAAGAAGCAAGUCUUGGAAUUUGUUUUAACAACUUGCCUUAAUUCUACCACUGGGUGACAUGUUUCUAGUCUAGAAGCAAAUUUUUAAAAAAGGUUGAUAGUCUUUCACCCAGGUAUUGCCAGCGCCCUAGGCUGAAGGCCAAGAGGCAGUGUGACCAGAUGGUUGGGAGCCUAGCAUCUGGAUAGCUGUGUGACCUACGGCACCCCAUAACCUCUCUGGGU